AUGGUGCGGCUAAGCAACACGGUGAUCGGGAUCCUGAACGCGGUGACCUUCCUGCUCUCGGUGCCCAUCCUGGCGGGCGGCAUCUGGCUGCGGGCGCGCGCCGACGGCACCGAGUGCGAGCGCUACCUGGCGGCGCCGGUGAUCGCGGUGGGGGUGUUCCUCAUGCUCGUCUCCAUCGCGGGGCUCGUCGGCGCCUGCUGCCGCGUCACCUGCCUCCUCUGGUUCUACCUCGUCGCCAUGUUCCUGCUCAUCGUCGUCCUCCUCGGCCUCACCGUCUUCGCCUUCGUCGUCACGCACAAGGGCACCGGGGAGGCCGUCUCCGGCCGCGGAUUCAAGGAGUACAGGCUCGGGGACUACUCCAACUGGCUGCAGAAGCGGGUGGAGAACGACAAGAACUGGAACAGGAUCAAGGGCUGCCUCCAGGACGCCAAGGUCUGCAAGUCGCUCGAGGACAAGACGGUCGACCAGUUCAUGUCCUCCGAUCUCUCCCCCAUCCAGUCCGGCUGCUGCAAGCCUCCGAUCAGCUGCGGCUUCACCUACGUCAACAGCACGCAAUGGACCGGCCCCGCCAAGUCGACGGAGCCCGACUGCGGCGCGUGGUCCAACGACGGGGCGCUCUGCUACGGCUGCCAGUCGUGCAAGGCCGGCGUGGUGGCCACCCUCAAGCGCAAUUGGAAGCGCUCCGCCAUCAUCAACAUCGUCUUCCUCGUCUUCAUCAUCAUUGUCUACUCCGUCGGCUGCUGCGCCUUCAGGAACAACCGCCGCGACCACCGCAACGGCGGCGGGUACAAGCAGCAGGGCGCGUACGCCUGA
rnacentral:rRNA from 1 species